GCAUAACGCGAAGAACCUUACCAACCCUUGACAUGGAGGGGACCGUUCCAGAGAUGGUUCUUUCACUUCGGUGACCCCUCACACAGGUGCUGCAUGGCUGUCGUCAGCUCGUGUCGUGAGAUGUUCGGUUAAGUCCGGCAACGAGCGCAACCCACACUUUCAGUUGCCAGCAUUCAGUUGGGCACUCUGAAAGAACUGCCGGUGAUAAGCCGGAGGAAGGUGUGGAUGACGUCAAGUCCUCAUGGCCCUUACGGGUUGGGCUACACACGUGCUACAAUGGCAGUGACAAUGGGCUAAUCCCAAAAAGCUGUCUCAGUUCGGAUUGGGGUCUGCAACUCGACCCCAUGAAGUCGGAAUCGCUAGUAAUCGCGUAACAGCAUGACGCGGUGAAUACGUUCCCGGGUCUUGUACACACCG
rnacentral:rRNA from 1 species